rnacentral:rRNA from 1 species
UACAGAGGGGGCAAGCGUUGUUCGGAAUUACUGGGCGUAAAGGGCGCGUAGGCGGCCCGCUAAGUCGAACGUGAAAUCCCCGAGCUCAACUCGGGAACUUCGUCCGAUACUGGUGGGCUUGAAUCCGGGAGAGGGAUGCGGAAUUCCAGGUGUAGCGGUGAAAUGCGUAGAUAUCUGGAGGAACACCGGUGGCGAAGGCGGCAUCCUGGACCGGCAUUGACGCUGAGGCGCGAAAGCUAGGGGAGCAAACAGG